AUUGAACGCUGGCGGCAGGCUUAACACAUGCAAGUCGAGCGGAGAUGAGGUGCUUGCACCUUAUCUUAGCGGCGGACGGGUGAGUAAUGCUUAGGAAUCUGCCUAUUAGUGGGGGACAACAUUCCGAAAGGAAUGCUAAUACCGCAUACGCCCUACGGGGGAAAGCAGGGGAUCUUCGGACCUUGCGCUAAUAGAUGAGCCUAAGUCGGAUUAGCUAGUUGGUGGGGUAAAGGCCUACCAAGGCGACGAUCUGUAGCGGGUCUGAGAGGAUGAUCCGCCACACUGGAACUGAGACACGGCCCAGACGCCUACGGGAGGCAGCAGUGGGGAAUAUUGGACAAUGGGCGGAAGCCUGAUCCAGCCAUGCCGCGUGUGUGAAGAAGGCCUUUUGGUUGUAAAGCACUUUAAGCGAGGAGGAGGCUACCUGGAUUAAUACUCUAGGAUAGUGGACGUUACUCGCAGAAUAAGCACCGGCUAACUCUGUGCCAGCCGCCGCCGUAAUAC
rnacentral:rRNA from 1 species